rnacentral:rRNA from 1 species
UACGGGGGGAGCAAGCGUUGUUCGGAUUUACUGGGCGUAAAGGGCGCGUAGGCGGCCACCGCAAGUCGACUGUGAAAUCUCCGGGCUUAACCCGGAAAGGUCAGCCGAUACUGCGGGGCUAGAGUGCAGAAGGGGCAACUGGAAUUCUCGGUGUAGCGGUGAAAUGCGUAGAUAUCGAGAGGAACACCUGAGGCGAAGGCGGCUAUCUGGCGGUGCACUGACGCUGAUGCGCGAAAGCGUAGGGAGCAAACAGG